UACGUAGGGACCAAGCGUUGUUCGGAUUUACUGGGCGUAAAGGGCGCGUAGGCGGCAUGACAAGUCACUUGUGGAAUCUCCGGGCUUAACUCGGAACGGCCAAGUGAUACUGUCAAGCUAGAGUGCAGAAAGGGCAAUCGGAAUUCUUGGUGUAGCGGUGAAAUGCGUAGAUAUCAAGAGGAACACCUGAGGCGAAGGCGGGUUGCUAGGCUGACACUGACGCUGACAGCGCGAAAGCCAGGGGAGCAAACGGG
rnacentral:rRNA from 1 species